AGCACACGGCGGUUGUGUAGCUGUAGAGAGGGGAGCAGAGUCGUCACAUGGCGCCCAGGUUUCGACUGGGACAGUAACUGGGUAGGCAGUGGUCAAGAUGGGAAAUCAGUGGAGGGUCAGAACUGGAGACAGAAUGAGAUCCUUUGGGAAACAAUGAGUCUGAGCUAUCAGCGGGCAGAUGUGGGAAUGGAUGUGAAAAUUUGAGGUCCCCCUUACGGGGGUGCUACUGGACAUCAUAGGAAUAAGUGAGUCACCCAGACAGAGGGUGAAGAGUCAGAAGGGAAGACAACGACGCUGUCAACCUUCAAGGAUAUCUCUCUGUCGGCUAGGCUGGAGUGUAGUGGUGUGAUCAUCAUGGCUCACUGUGGCCUCAAACUCCUACUAUGGACAGGAGACAGGGAAAUACUGGGUAGAAGAGGACAGUUCCCCAGCAAAGGCCCCACCCUCAAGCCUGGAUACCCAUGGCCCUAAAUGGGAACAGGCAUUUCUGUUUUUGCACCCCAAAAGUUGACUUUUGGCCCACAUGCUCCCUAUCCUGUACCCAUAUAAACCCCAAAUUCCAGGCUCCAGAGAGAGACAAGGAGAUGAGGAGACAAGCAGACGAACAGCGGAACAAUGCAGCAGAGAAAGAGAGAAGAGAAGGAACGUCUGAACGUCGAGAGGAGUUCGGCUGCUGGACGGCCAAACUCCAGGGGAAGAUCAUCUUCCCACUCCAUUCCCCCUCCAGCUCCCCAUCCAUCCCACUGAGAGCCACUUCCACCACUCAAUAAAAGCCCCACAUUUAUCCUUCAAGUCCAUGUGUGAUCCAAUUCUUCUGGGAUGCUAAACAAGAACCUGGGAUACAGAAAGCUGUCACACUGGCCCUCUGCCCUUGCAGAAAGGCAGAGGGGCCCUGAGCUGGUUGAUACUUAAGCUGUCUGUGGAUGGCAGAACUAAAAGAGCAUUGG
rnacentral:lncRNA from 1 species